GAUGAACGCUGGCGGUAUGCUUAACACAUGCAAGUCGAACGGACACUUCGGAGUUAGUGGCGGCCGGGGGGGCAACGCGUGGGAAAACAGCUUUGGGUUCGGGACAACCACUGGAAACGGUGGCUAAUACCGGAUGUGCCGAGUGGUAAAAGCGAAACUGCCUGAAGAUGAGCUCGCGUCUGAUUAGCUAGAUGGUGAGGUAAAGGCUCACCAUGGCAGGGAUCAGUAGCUGGUCUGUGAGGAUGACCAGCCACACUGGGACUGAGACACGGCCCAGUCUCCGACGGGAGGCAGCGGUGGGGAGUUCUCCGCAAGGAGCGAAAGUCUGACGGAGCAAUACCGCGGGAGGGAAGAAGGCGCUUGGGUUGUAAACCUCUUUUCUUAGGGAAGAACAAAAUGACGGUACCGAAAGAAGCAGCAUCGGCUAACUCCGUG
rnacentral:rRNA from 1 species